rnacentral:rRNA from 1 species
UACAGAGGUCCCAAGCGUUGUUCGGAUUCACUGGGCGUAAAGGGGUGCGUAGGCGGUCGGGUAAGUCUGACGUGAAAUCUUCAAGCUCAACUUGGAAACUGCGUCGGAUACUAUUCGGCUAGAGGAAUGGAGGGGAGACUGGAAUACUUGGUGUAGCAGUGAAAAUGCGUAGAUAUCAAGUGGAACACCAGUGGCGAAGGCGAGUCUCUGGACAUUUCCUGACGCUGAGGCACGAAAGCCAGGGGAGCAAACGGG